GAAAGACUAAGGAUUCCUCCGCUACGUCAAUCAACGGAGGGUAAGUCGGAUCCUAAGGAUAAUGCGAAAGCAGAGGCCGAUGGGAAUCAGGUUAAAAUUCCUGAACCACUAAUAGUUUCGAAGCGGGGACGGACUUUAAAGCUUCAUACGAACUGACGGAAUAGUUCGUUGAGAGGAGACUUCGGUUGAAUCGAAUGAGGGGAUAAGGUUCCAAGAAAAGCCGAUAAGUUAUGAUUAAUAGUGACCGUACCGCAAACCGACACAGGUGGGCGGGAUGAGUAUUCUAAGGCGCUUGAGAGAACUCAGGAGAAGGAACUCGGCAAAUUGAUACCGUAACUUCGGGAGAAGGUAUGCCCCAAGUAGGUGAACUCGUACAGAGGGAGCCCAAAGGGGUUGCAAAAAAUCGGUGGCUGCGACUGUUUAAUAAAAACACAGCACUCUGCAAACACGAAAGUGGACGUAUAGGGUGUGACGCCUGCCCGGUGCUGGAAGAUUAAAUGAUGGGGUGCAAGCUCUUGAUUGAAGUCCCAGUAAACGGCGGCCGUAACUAUAACGGUCCUAAGGUAGCGAAAUUCCUUGUCGGGUAAGUUCCGACCUGCACGAAUGGCGUAACGAUGGCCACACUGUCUCCUCCUGAGACUCAGCGAAGUUGAAAUGUUUGUGAUGAUGCAAUCUCCCCGCGGAAAGACGGAAAGACCCCAUGAACCUUUACUGUAGCUUUGUAUUGGACUUUGAACAGAUCUGUGUAGGAUAGGUGGGAGGCUUUGAAGUGAGGUCGCUAGAUCUCAUGGAGCCAACGUUGAAAUACCACCCUGGUGUGUUUGAGGUUCUAACCUAGGUCCAUUAUCUGGAUCGGGGACAGUGCAUGGUAGGCAGUUUGACUGGGGCGGUCUCCUCCCAAAGCGUAACGGAGGAGUUCGAAGGUACGCUAGUUACGGUCGGACAUCGUGACGAUAGUGCAAUGGCAUAAGCGUGCUUAACUGCGAGACUGACAAGUCGAGCAGAUGCGAAAGCAGGACAUAGUGAUCCGGUGGUUCUGUAUGGAAGGGCCAUCGCUCAACGGAUAAAAGGUACUCUGGGGAUAACAGGCUGAUACCGCCCAAGAGUUCAUAUCGACGGCGGUGUUUGGCACCUCGAUGUCGGCUCAUCUCAUCCUGGGGCUGUAGCCGGUCCCAAGGGUAUGGCUGUUCGCCAUUUAAAGAGGUACGUGAGCUGGGUUUAAAACGUCGUGAGACAGUUUGGUCCCUAUCUUCCGUGGGCGCUGCAGAUUUGAGGAAGCCUGCUCCUAGUACGAGAGGACCGGAGUGGACACACCUCUGGUGUAUCGGUUGUCACGCCAGUGGCAUUGCCGAGUAGCUAAGUGUGGAAGAGAUAACCGCUGAAAGCAUCUAAGCGGGAAACUCGUUUCAAGAUGAGAUCUGCCGGGGCCUUGAGCCCCCUAAAGAGUCGUUCAAGACCAGGACGUUGAUAGGUCAGGUGUGGAAGCGCAGUAAUGCGUUAAGCUAACUGAUACUAAUUGCUCGUGCGGCUUGACC
rnacentral:rRNA from 1 species